rnacentral:tRNA from 1 species
AUUUAUAUAGUAUAAAAAGUAUUUUUAAUUUCCAAUUAAAAGGUUUAUAAAUUAAUAUAAAUA